rnacentral:rRNA from 1 species
CUACGGGCCGCUCCAGUGGGGAAUAUUGGACAAUGGGGGAAACCCUGAUCCAGCAAUGCCGCGUGUGUGAAGAAGGCCUGCGGGUUGUAAAGCACUUUCGGUUGGGAGGACUGCUUCUAGCACUAAUAUUGUUGGAAGUUGACGUUACCUUCAGAAGAAGCACCGGCUAACUCCGUGCCAGCAGCCGCGGUAAUACGGAGGGUGCAUGCGUUAAUCGGAAUUACUGGGCGUAAAGCGCGCGUAGGCGGCUAGAUCAGUCGGGUGUGAAAGCCCCGGGCUUAACCUGGGAACUGCAUCCGAUACUGUCUAGCUUGAGUACAGGAGAGGGGAGUGGAAUUCCACAUGUAGCGGUGAAAUGCGUAGAUAUGUGGAGGAACACCAAUGGCGAAGGCAGCUCUCUGGCCUGAUACUGACGCUGAGGUGCGAAAGCGUGGGGAGCAAACAGGAUUAGAUACCCUCGUAGUC